GGAAGGGAAAUGCAGGUGAGGGAGGGGAGCUUGCAGAUGGAGGACAUGGAUGGGAUGAACUUGAAGGGGAGGGACAGUUUGUUGAUUUUACAGAGGGCGUUGGAGGGCAAAAGGGAGAGUAAGAAUAGAGGUAGGGAGGGAUACGGAAUGUUUGGUAAUCGGAAGAGGGAGAGGAAAGAGAAAAUGAUGAGGAGAGAGGGGGCUUUGGAUAUGGUGUGCGUGUGCCUCGCUACGUUGUCGUUUGUGGGUCUUCUUUACAAUUUUGUUGUGUGCAGAGUGUAGACAUGAUAACAGAACAGAGGCUGAUGGCAUUACGUCAGGCAUGUCCAGAAUCUGAAGCUUCCCUCCAAUUCAACUCAUUCAUUCCUUUAAACAACCAGAUUCCUAAGUUCGUCCUAAAGCACCCGAAUAAGUGCCCAGGCAGGUAUCUCAGGCUUGAAACUGGCAUCUCAUCGUUAUAGAGUACAAUACAUUUGCUGCUCUUCAUCUUUUCGAGGGCUAAUAAAUUCAUGUAAUGCAAA